GCGGAUGGUCUAGAGUCCAGGAAAAGGCAGGGUUCAACCAUGUAUAAGGCCGUCGGAUCACGGGGAUCCCGGGUCAGCCGCGUUCUCUGG
rnacentral:ncRNA from 19 species